GCUCGACACUUCACUGGCUUGUAUUCUUGGAAAUUGCUUGCUUGUUUUAAGUAAAGAGAGAGAGCUUCAGUACUUGGUGUGAACAAAAACCUGCGAAACUGAUCGAGUUCGUGACAUGCACUUGUAGUAGUAGCGAGUGCUUGCCCCCUCACUCUUUGUACGAUCCUCGCAUGAUUUGUUACUUCAAAAUAAAAAAAUUCUGAAAGCACAGAGAGAGGCCAAGGAGCAAGAGCCUAAUUAGGAGAACGGAGGGCAAUGGCCAUGGCCGAUAAGGAAGAGUGGCAAGCAUAGCAUAAAGUAAUGGUGCUUGAGAAGACAACAGUGAACUUUGUUGGACUUUCUCUGUGUAAACACCGCAAGAUUUAAAGCAACAGGCAGGGACAGAGCCUACCACAUGAUCAGAUAUGUGUGUGAUGUGACUUUCGAUGCCUGUCAUCAAACAGUAUCUCAUGGCUAUCUAUCUCUUUCUAAUCUGGGGACCAUGAAAGACUAUAUAUAAAGAAGGAUGCAUGUUGCAUAUAACUAUAGCUAGCUUGCUGAUGUAAUUGUAUUGUUGCAAUAUUUCACUUGGAGAUUCUGGAGUCCUUUCUUGUUUCCCUCUUGUUAAUUACAUCAUUCUGAAUUACAGCCAAUCCAAUUUGCAUACAUAUAAGAAUAAAAGUUAAUAUUACAUGUAAAAAUAAAAUUAAUUGUAUUUGCUAUUUAAAAUUAAAUUAAAAACUUGAACCCACGGUAUUCAUAUAAAUCCAGGAGAGAUACAUAAUCAAUCGCAUGACUGUUAUAAAUUGAUAAAACGAGAUUUAUCAACUCACCUGAAAAUCAUAUAAAAAAAAAAGGGGAUUCCAUUUAUAAAAUGUGAGAUUUAAACUAUAUAUAAUAUUACAGGUUAUUAUUCCACCCGUUAGUCAGCUAGCCACUACCUCAAGACCUUUGGCAAAUUCUAAACAUGAGCUGAUUUUGCCUAUUGCAUUGCAUCAUAACAACUUUACAAAGCAUAGGAUAGAUUUCCAUCUCAAUCACUUCAUAAAAAGAGUCCAAGACAAAACCAAACCCUAGCCAAUCAAGGGUUUAUCUUCCUUACAAAUCAACAGUUGAAAAAAGGAAGAACAAGUGCAUCUUUUCUAUGUGCGAAUGGAGGAUGGGGCAGGUUUCUUAGAACAUGGCCAAAUGGAUCAAAUCAAUCACAAAGCAAAUAAUAAAACGGAAGAAAGGGACACUGGAUUUGUUGCUGCUUUACACACAAGCUUAUUCCAUUUUAUCUCUACUUAAUGAUUAUGGUCUCUCUCUUGAUCCACACAUCUUAUCACACCCAAAAAACGAAGAAACAAAAGUUCAGUGCGUUUUACUGUACCCUAAAGAUACAUUUAUGGGCCCCAAGCAGUUUUAAAAUCACAUAAAAUCAUAUUAAAAUUUUCCUAAAAAUAUCUUUAUUUUAUGUCAUAAUCUUGCGAUUAUUUUAUCUUGUUUUUCGAGGGAAACAUUCUAUGAACAAAUUAUAGGUUAAAAACCGAAAGUUAAACCUGUAAUUAUCAAUAAGGAUUGUGUCAAUACAUUGAUGUUACUGCACACAGUAGAAGAAUAUUUUGAGCAUAACACAAAACGAUUCAAUGCAUGAGAAUAUUAUUUCAUCCUGAAGAGAAUUGUUGCCUUUGUAAUAAGUGGAACAGGAAACGUGUGAAAUCCAAGAUGGAAUAAUGUCAAAUCAAUUAUUUUCUUGGUGACAAUGCUGGAUUCUCUGUUUGAUCCUAUAGAUGUCAAUGGUGGUUGGAUUUUGAUUUGAAGUUACAUUUGUUGACACAGACCCGCAAAAAUAUUGUUCUGAGAAGAUGAAUUGUAGAUUUUAGAGUUUAGUUGGUAAAAGAAUCAUGAUUUGAAUAUAAAUUAAUUUUGAUAUAUUAAUUAAUUAAACAUGAAAGAUUUAAAAGAAAAAUUACUAUUCCAUUUCAAAUCAAGUACUGGCCAUUAUAUUGCAUGAUAGGAAACAAAUAUGUUUUAUUAUUGAAUUUAGGGGAAAAAAUGUUUUUCAUUACUAAUCAUAAAUCUUUUAUUUUAUAAGAGUUGAACAAAUAAUUUUAUUUUUUAUUUAAAAAAAAAAUUAUAAUUUUUAUUAUUUUUUGUAACCCCCACUUAUUUUAUUUUAUAACUGAGAGUCAUGUUAUGUAACUCAAAAUCUAAUAAACUCUUUAAUAAUCAUUGUUAUUAAAUUUAAUUUAGCAUGCUCAAGCUGAUAUAGAACAUGAUCCAGGCUAAGUUUCAUAGAGAAAUAAAAAACAUUGACUUAAUCAAGAGUCUGAAUUGAUCCAAGACCAUAUCAAUCAGGGCAAAAUUUAUUAAUUUUUUUUUAAAUAAAACAAUAUUAUUUUAUUUAAAUAAAUAAAUAUCAAUUUAAUUUAUAUGACUCAUGAUUUAGAUCUUGCAUCGAGUAAAACCUUAAGUUAGAUUUAAUAAUAAUAUUAAUAAUUAAAUAAAAAUAACUCCAUUAAACCAUUGCUGCUAUUUAAAGUUUCAAUAUAUAAGUAUUGACUUAAUCAAAAGUAUGAAUUGACCCAAGACCAUAUCAAUCAGGGCAAAAUUUAUUAAUUUUUUUUUAAAAAAUUAAAAUAAUAUUAUUUUAUUUAAAUAAAUAAAUAUUAAUUUAAUUUAUAUGACUCGUGAUUUAGGUCAUGCAUCGAGUAAAACUUUAAGUUACAUUUAAUAAUAAUAUUAAUAAUUAAAUAAAAAUAACUCCAUUAGACCAUUGCUGCUAUUUAAAGUUUUAAUAUAUAAGUAUUGACUUAAUCAAAAUUAUGAAUGGACCCAAGACCAUAUCAAUUAGGGCAAAAUUUAUUAAUUUUUUUUAAAAAAUUAAAAUAAUAUUAUUUUAUUUAAAUAAAUAAAUAUCAAUUUAAUUUAUAUGACUCAUGAUUUAGGUCUUGCAUCGAGUAAAACUUUAAGUUACAUUUAAUAAUAAUAUUAAUAAUUAAAUAAAAAUAACUCCAUUAGACCAUUGCUUCUAUUUAAAGUUUCAAUAUAUAAGUAUUGACUUAAUCAAAAAUAUGAAUUGACCCAAGACCAUAUCAAUAAGGAAAAAAUUUAUUAUUAUUUUAAAAAAAUUAAAAUAAUAUAAUUUUAUUUAAAUAAAUAAAUAUCAAUUUAAUUUAUAUGACUCAUGAUUUAGGUCUUGCAUCGAGUAAAAUUUUAAGUUAGAUUUAAUAAUAAUAUUAAUAAUUAAAUAAAAAUAACUCCAUUAGACCAUUACUACUAUUUAAAGUUUCAAUAUAUAAGUAUUGACUUAAUUAAAAGUAUGAAUUGACCAAAGACUAUAUCAGGGUAAAAUUUAUUAAAACUUUUUUUAAAAAAUUAAAAUAAUAUAAUUUUAUUUAAAUAAAUAAAUAUCAAUUUAAUUUAUAUGACUCAUGAUUUAGGUCUUGUAUCGAGUAAAAUUUUAAGUAAGAUUUAAUAAUAAUAUUAAUAAUUAAAUAAAAAUAACUUCAUUAGACCAUUGCUCCCACUUAUAAAUUGCACCGCCCUACUUCUCCGUUUCUCAAGCCUCACACACUUUCUUCUCAACCUUCUUACCAAAACCCCUGAAAGAUUAUAAAAACAUCAACAAAAGAAAAAAAUGAGACCCAUAAGCCACCUUGACACCACCAUGAGCACAUCAAAGGCAGCAGCCACCUCACCAUCACCGCCAGCAUUGCACUCUCCAGUGCCAUACCUCUUUGGAGGUCUAGCAGCUAUGAUGGGCCUGAUUGUUUUUGCUUUAUUAAUCUUGGCUUGCUCUUAUCGGAGAUUGCCUGGUCGUUUAGAUAGUGAAAAUGAAGGCAACGAUCAAAGAGAUCUUGAAAGUGGAAAUGAAAAGGAAGGAAGUAACCCUGGGAAGGCAGAGAAAAGGGUUUAUGAAGAGAAGUUCCUUGUUAUUAUGGCGGGGAAUGAGAAGCCAACAUGUUUAGCCACUCCUGUUUGUAGUAAAGUUUCUUCCUUUGUAGCCCAGAUUGAUAACCAAGAAGAAGAGAAGACAGAGAGCACCGGUGAUCAUUACAAGCUGAAAAAUGAAGAAACGAUAGGGGACAGCCAUGAUCAAGCAAGAACAACAGCUGAAGAAAACAUAGAGACACAAGAGAAUCAACGAGAAGUCCAAGAAGAACAAAAUUAAGCUGCAAUGAGCAGGAAAUAUAUAAAUCAAUUUUGGAGAUGAAAGGAGAGUGUUUAUUUUUUUCUUUUUUUCUGGUUCUUUUCCUGGUUUUUUGUGUUUUCGGUUCUGUUCUUGUAGUACUUCGGGAGGUGUAAAAAGUUUGCAGAGAUGAGGCAAUUCUUGAAGUAGAAGAAAAGGUUUUCUUCUUUACAGCAAAUUACAGCCAAAUUUUGCUUAGUAAUUAAUCAUAUUUUUCUUCAUAAUUACUUUUCCCCAUAUCUUUGAUUCGUUUUUACAGCCAGCAAUUACCAGCCUUCAUUGAUGACAACAAAUUACAGCCAAAGUUAUUAACCCAACCCAGGCAAUGACUUGAGUUAUUAAUCUAGUUCAGUCAAAACAAAACAAAAAAGUUGUUUGAAUUUCAUAUAAAAGAAAAAUCAAAAUAAUAUUAUUUUAAUUUAUUUUUAAAAGAUUAUAUUGAAUUUUAAUUAAGUUGAUUGAGUUGAUGAUUGAUUUUACUGAACUAAUAAGAAAAACUAAUGGAGAAUAAAGUGAAAAAAAUGGACUCGAAGGGUCAUAUACUCUUUAAAUAUAUUUUCUCUUAAUUUGGCUGCCGGAAUAUUCCAAGGAACAAAUUACUUGUUAAUUCAGUUGUAAAAAAAGAAAAGAAAAACUAAUGGAGAAUAAAGUGAAAAAAAUGGACGCGAAGGGUCAUAUACUCUUUAAAUAUAUUUUCUCUUAAUUUGGCUGCCGGAAAAUCCCAAGGAACAACUUACCCUUAAAGCACAGUGACAAGAAAUGAAGUAGUCCAACGUAAUAAAUCCGUCGACUGUGCAUGAAAUUUGUGCUGCCUGAAUGUCAGUGCAAGAGGAGAUGGGUGAUAAAUAAGUAAUUAUGAUAAAUAAUCUCUGUAUUUUUUAUGAUUUAGUUGAUAUUUUCAGAUCCAUUUACGUGAAGAAAUUAAUUUUAUAAUCUAGCUUUCAAUCUGUUUUUUUUUUUUAUGUUGUAAUUGAUUAGUUGAUACAACACAUUUAUAUACUAUUUUAAUGUUUUUGUAAGAGAAAAUAUUAAUUGAUAUUUUUUAUUUUUUAUGGAUUUAAUCCGCUAAUAUUAAAAAAAAUUAAAAAAUUAUUUUAAUUUAUUUUUAAUUAAAAAAUAUCAUAUACCACAUCACUAAAUACUUACUAAAUCUUCUUUGAUCAUUAAUGGGUAUUAUUAGUCCAACACAUCUGAUGAAUUUAUAUAAAUAUUAAAUUAAUUAUAUGUUCUAAUUUAUCCAAUAUUUAGGGGUUUUCUCAUCUAAAAUUAAGAAAUGAUCUUAGAAACAUUUCCCAUUUGAACAACAAAGAAAUGAUCCAUUGGUUGUGGUUUGUUCAGGUGAAUCAUUGAUUUUCCUUUGGGAGGCUUUAUAGGUGGCAUGGAGGUGGAUGUAGGGAGGUUUUUAGAAUGGUGUUUGAAAAUUGAAAUGGUAUUUUGGUGGUUUUAUAUAUAUAUAUAUAUUUUUUUUUCUUAAAAUUUAUUUUUUUAACGGACAGCUGUUUUCCCCUUAUUAAUAAUAAUAAUCCCCUGUGAACAGCAGAGAAUCUUACUAAUCUCCAUACAAGCCAAGGUCAGACCAUCUCUUGGAGAUCAAGUAAAGACGGAAUAACAUUCUUUCUAGAGAUCAAGAACGGUUUCGAUAGUUGUCUUACCAGGUGUACACCUGCUGAGGUGUUUUACUUAAUCAUACGUGGAGCAUAAUUUUAUUUUAUUUUUUAAGAUAGUUGAGAUGUACAAUAUAUAUAUAUAUAUAUAUAUAUAUAUAUAUUGUUUUAAAAUGACAAAAAAAUCAUUCUAGAAUUACUUUAGAAAUAUAUUUAUUUAAACGUGUUUUCGUAUCUAUUUAUGUGGUUAAAUAUAUUUUAUGUCUUUCAUAUUUAUUUUUUCUAUCUAUAUUUAUCUUUUCAGUAAUGAAACAUUAACUAAAUAUAAUAUUUAUAAUAUAUAAGGAUUGUGCCAACUCAAAUAUGAGUAAUUUCCAAGCUAUUUCCAUUCUUUGUAUCAUAUGGAUAAUGAUUUUAAUAUGCUGAUAUAAACAAAAAAAAACACUUAAGAUUCUAAAUUUAUUUUAGCCUCGCAUCAAAGUUGGUUUAAAGAAUGAAAAAUGCUUCCUCUACAAAUGAUCACAAACCCUAACUCAUAUAAAAAUUGAAGUUAAGCCUAAUAAUUAUUAUUAUCACUCCCAUCUCAUGCUAUAAAUAUUUCACUAUAUCUGCUGAUAUCAGCUCGUGAUUCGAUAGAUAUUUUAAUUGUAAAGAACAUCCUUUGCCCUUGCAGCAUGGUUCAUGUCAUGUUAUUGGAUUAAACAAUCUUACUUUUCCGACAAAUAAGCCCACAUGAUGCCACUCUGAGCAUAUAGUGUUAAAUAUAGCUAUUUGGAAUCAAACUACUAUAGCUUAUACACGGUUUAAAAAAAGAAAAAAAGAUAUUAAGAUCACAUGGUAUACUCGUAGUAUUUUUGGACCCGUUCGUGCUUUUUCAAACUAUAUCAAGACAUAUCCUUUCGUGUUAGCCUUGUAUAUUUAGAGAAAUUUAAUAAAUUUCAGUAAGGGCCUCUUAAAUUUGAAAUCAUAAUUUUUUUUAAAAAAAUCUUCUUAAUCACUAAACCAACCAUCAAAAUUAAAAAAAAAAUCUAGUUUUGAUCACAAUUGUUAAACCCAAUUCCAUCGAGCUAAUUGAUCUAAAUAUCUCAUGAUCUAUAAUCUUAACAUGUUAUAUUUAAGUUGAAAUAAUUUUAAUAUCAACCCAACAAAAAUCGAUUAAUUUAUUCAAACCUAGUUUAUACAUGAUUAAAUUAAUCAAUAUAUGAAAAAAAAUAAAAACUAAAAUAAUAUUAUUUUGAAUAAAAAUAAUAAACCAAGGUAUCAUAUUAACUCACAAAUUGAUCCAAUAACCGGAAGUGUGAGAAAUAUAGUUUUUGUGCAUAAAAGUUGAAUCAAUAAUCUUUUUUAUUAUUAAAAAAAUUCAUGUAUGUAUUUGUAUCAGGGCUGACACUCACGAAACAAUACCACAAGCCCAUCUGCCCUGCUUGGAACCACAUCUUCACAGCCCACAACACCCUCGACACUUCACUGGCUUGGAUUCUUGGAAAUUGCUUGCUUGUUUUAAGUAAAGAGAGAGAGCUUCAGUACUUGGUGUGAACAAAAACCUGCGAAACUGAUCGAGUUCGUGACAUGCACUUAGAAAUUUUCGAAGUGUGAGAAACAGAAACAAAAAGAAAAAAAUGGGUCUUUUGUUUAGUAGAAUGUUCUCUUCUUUAUUUGGCAAUAAAGAAGCUCGAAUACUUGUCCUCGGC
rnacentral:lncRNA from 1 species